UGAUCAACAUGGCGGCACCACAGCUCCUUUGUGUGUCUGUGCUGAAAUCGAGGACCAGAGUGGCUGACUGACUGACCUGUCUUAAAGCAAGAGAGGACAUGAAGAAUGAUAGGUAUAUGUCGAAAGGACACGGGAGCUGGCUGGAAGAGGACAAGCCAAUCAUGGGACAAUUUGAGCAGCCAAAAAAAGAAAAGGAAUUGCCAUCUGAAAACCAAGAGUAACUGCUUGGAGAACAAAUUUGUUUACUGGGAGAUGGAAGCCAAGUUUGUCUCAAAUUUUUAGCACCAUACCCUGGGUGGACAUGGUUCCUUAAGAGAACAAAGACGUUUCUGCUAAAUGGAUGGAACGCAGAGGUUGAUACGACUGUGACUGUAACAUCUGUCAUGUAUUGAUCAGGUGGUUUAGGAAACAAAUCUAGCUUUCUAAGUUGGUGUUUAAUUCAUUAAUUCAACAAAAAUUUAUUGACCACCUAUGAAAUGUCAACACUGUGCUAGACACUUGGAAUGCAAAAAUAAAUAAGACUCAUUCUCCGCCUUGGGAGAAAUUACGGACUGGUGAGAUGAGGGGGAAGGGGAGACAGAUAUGUAAACAAAAUAAGUGUAAAGGUGCUAUUCACUCUAUGAUAGAAAUUCAUUAAGGACGUUACCUUAAAAUAAAUCACAAAAUCAAAAUUUCAGGUAAAUGAGGGAGAGGAGAGAGUAUUAUUAGAGGAAGGAGCAGUGUGAGAAGAGGACUGUUUGGGAACUGUCUGUUGUAUAUAUAGCUGGAGGAUGGGACAUAGGGAGCUGUGUAAAUGAAGCUGGGGUGUAGACAGAAGCUCAACCAUGGAGGUCCUUAGAGAACGUACUGUGUCUGGACAUUAGAUGGUGGCAGUGACUGAAAAUUCUAAUAUUUUAAGUGUAGAAACAAAAUGAUCAGGGUUGCAUUUUGCUGCUUUGGCAACGAUCACUAUAGACGGGAAGAAGGGGAUAAAUGAGUGAGAUAUUGAGAACGUGGAGCCAGAGGACUCAGCAAUAGAUCUGUUGUCAGGGAUGAGGAGUUGAGAAUGACUCCUGAGUUUGUGGCUCGGUUGUCUGAGAGUCACUGAGAGUGGCAUUCAGUGACAGUGGGCAUACACGAUGAAAACAGGUUUAAGUGAAAGUACUGUUUUUCCAUGUUAAAUUUUAGGCACUUUUGGUCAGCCAAUAGAGAGUUGAGUACGCAAGUCUUAAAGGCUAGAAAGUGGUUUCACCUAAAGAGGUAUGGAUUCGUGAGUCGUCAAAAUAUGACUGUUAAGAGUUAAAUGUGUAAGAGUGGAUAAAACAACCUAAGGAGGGUGCACAGAGCUAGAGAUAAAUAAAGACAGAAAACCUGCCUUUAAAGAGUGGGUGAAGGACCAAGAGUCAUCAGAGGAGACCCUGAAACACAAGAGUAACUGGUCCAUCGUCGCUUCUACAAGUGGACUCAAUUGAGAAGCUUGAACUGGUAGAGCUGCUUUAGUGUCCAGAGUGUGUCAAAGUCAGACGACCAGCAGAGGCUCUCUAACGCAGUGCCAUCUUGCAGCUGCAUGGUCCGUUUCUGUUUAGACAGCUGCUGUGUUAGCAAGAGCUCUGGAAUGAGCAAACCUGGGACCGAGUUCCAGUUCUUCCACUUGUUGUGUGACCUUGGGUGUGUCGUUUAACUUCUGAGCCUCAGUUUUGCAUCUAUAAAGUGGAGAAUGGAGUAGUGUAUAAUGCUUGUUAUUCCUAUUUCAUGGGGUUGUUGACAGUCAGGUAACACAUUUGAAAAUGAUUUGUAAACUGCAAAGUGCAUCAGAAUUGAAGGGCUCUGCCAUCACCAUUGCAGCUUUGGAGUGUACCUUGGCCUAUAUUCUUGGACUGGAAUGGAAAUGGAAUGGAGUAAAUCGGGGCCAGAGUGGGCACAGGGACGUAAUUUUCAGUCUUUAAGUGAGGGCAUUGUUGAAAGACCGGAAAGAAGGCAGCCAGGAAAAAUAUGCUAGUUUAUUUCUUUUUUUGACUUUUACUAAAUAAUCCGUCUCAUAUAUUUGCAAAUAGGCUCCCUUAUGAGGUUGGGCGUAUUGGUGUAACUUCAGAUGUGGGACAGCCGUAGACACUGCUCCCCUCCCACUGUUGUGUGUUGUGAGUUUUUACAGCCCACCUGCCACUCUCUCUGGACGACUGCCUUUGGUUACUGGAGCUGCUUUGUGCACUUGCCACGGAGUCUGAAGUGCCUGGGCUUUACAUUCCCCACCCUUCCGGCCCCCGGGUCCGCAGCCCGGAGCCAAAGACUGGAGGUUGCCAAGCCCAGCCCCCUUGCCUGAGCAAGGCUAAGCCCAGCCCUGGCGCACAGUUCUACUCCAGAGCUCCCCUUCGGGAUCCGGGAAGGGGGGGCUCGGCCUGAAGCGGCCUCUGCUUCACCUCUCCCCCUUUCCUCUCCCGCUUCCCCCUCCCUGACUGGUUGUGUCCUGAGAGCUCUUCCCGAAUGAAUCCCUUGUGUGUGCUUCCUCCUCUCAGGGCAGGGUCUGCUUCUGGGCACCUCCUAAGACGAUGACACUUAACUUGAAUAACUGAAGAUAUUUCUCUCCACAUGAUCCUUUCUAACACCAAACUGUUUUGAUUUAAGGCUCACUUUACAUAGAUAGUUUUGUUUUUCUUUUAUGUAAUUUUUACAUACAGGUUAUGAUGGUGUUAUAAAUGUCUAUGAAUAAAUUGAUAGACCUAACCUAGAGUCCUAUAGAUUAUUCUCAUAAGUAUCUCUCACAAUUUUGAAAAUAUAACCCAAAUCACUAUAGUUGUGGAAUGUUUUGAUUUAAAUCUAUAAUGUUAAUUCCAUUUGUUAAUGCUUGCUAUAUCUCAGGCACUGUGAUUGCUGCUUUGCAAGUAUUAUCUUAUUGAAUCUCCUCAGCAAAUUUACGAUGUUGGUCUUAUUAUCCCCAAUUUACAGACGA